rnacentral:rRNA from 1 species
AGAGUUGAUCUGGCUCAGAACGAACGCUGGCGGCGCGUCUUAAGCAUGCAAGUCGAACGGCAAGAGGUAGCAAUACCUCCUAGAGUGGCGGACUGGUGAGUAACACGUGGGUGACAUACCCUUCAGAUGGGGAUAGCUAUUAGAAAUAGUAGAUAAUACCGAAUACGAGCACAGGGGUUAGAGAUCUGUGAGGAAAGGAGCUAAGGCUCCGCUGAAGGAAUGGCCUGCGGCCCAUUAGCUAGUUGGUGAGGUAAGAGCCCACCAAGGCGAUGAUGGGUAUCCGGCCUUAGAGGGUGAACGGACACAUUGGGACUGAGAUACGGCCCAGACUCCUACGGGAGGCAGCAGCUAAGAAUAUUCCGCAAUGGACGAAAGUCUGACGGAGCGACGCCGCGUGGAUGAAGAAGGCCGGAAGGUUGUAAAAAUCCUUUUGAAACUGAAGAAUAAGCGUUGUAGGGAAUGACAGCGUGGUGACAGUAGGUUUUGAAUAAGCAACGGCUAAUUACGUGCCAGCAGCCGC